GACGAACGCUGGCGGCGUGCUUAACACAUGCAAGUCGAACGGAAAGGCCCUGCUUUUGUGGGGUGCUCGAGUGGCGAACGGGUGGGUAACACGUGAGUAACCUGCCCUUGACUUUGGGAUAACUUCAGGAAACUGGGGCUAAUACCGGAUAGGAGCUCCUGCUGCAUGGUGGGGGUUGGAAAGUUUCGGCGGUUGGGGAUGGACUCGCGGCUUAUCAGCUUGUUGGUGGGGUAGUGGCUUACCAAGGCUUUGACGGGUAGCCGGCCUGAGAGGGUGACCGGCCACAUUGGGACUGAGAUACGGCCCAGACUCCUACGGGAGGCAGCAGUGGGGAAUAUUGCACAAUGGGCGGAAGCCUGAUGCAGCAACGCCGCGUGCGGGAUGACGGCCUUCGGGUUGUAAACCGCUUUCGCCUGUGGCGAAGCGUGAGUGACGGUAAUGGGUAAAGAAGCACCGGCUAACUACGUG
rnacentral:rRNA from 1 species